rnacentral:ncRNA from 1 species
GUCUACCUAAAAAACACCUAAAUAGACACGCCUCCUAAAUUUGUGCAUAGCAUACAACUCCAGGAAUCCCUCACCUGUAAGGUAGGCAGGUGGGGAAUCCAGGAUUCGAGGGU